rnacentral:rRNA from 1 species
CCUACGGGUGGCUGCAGUGGGGAAUAUUGGGCAAUGGGCGCAAGCCUGACCCAGCAACGCCGCGUGAAGGAAGAAGGCUUUCGGGUUGUAAACUUCUUUUAUCGGGGACGAAACAAAUGACGGUACUCAAUGAAUAAGCCACGGCUAACUACGGACCAGCAGCCGCGGUAAUACGUAGGUGGCAAGCGUUAUCCGGAUUUCCUGGGUGUAAAGGGCUUGUAGGCGGGACUGCAAGUCAGAUGUGAAAUACAUGGGCUCAACGCAUGGCCUGCAUUUGAAACUGUGGAGCUGGAGUGCAGGAGAGGCAGGCGGAAUUCCGAGUGUAGCGGUGAAAUGCGUAGAUAUACGGAGGAACACCAGUGGCGAAGGCGGCCUGCUGGACAUUAACUGACGUUGAGGCGCGAAAGCGUGGGGAGCAAACAGGAUUAGAUACCCGGGUAGUC